CACAGAAUGGCAGCUAUGCAGAACGGCAGGACAAAGGACAGCCAUGUUGCAGUGGUGCCUGAAGUGGUCCAGCAACACUUUGUGAAGAUGGGGGUUUCAAAACUUGGCCUUGAGGGCAGAAGAGGCAGCCCCUCCCCCAGACGCAAAGUGCCCAUUGUAUUUGUUACUGAGCAGCACUGAGAUCGUGCCAGGCAUGGUGUAUGCACUCACCCCACUGAACUCUAACAAGC
rnacentral:lncRNA from 1 species